rnacentral:misc_RNA from 1 species
UCUCCGUAGGUGAACCUGCGGAGGGAUCACUACAGGCUUGCAAAAGCUCUGAAACCACUGUUUAUCUACCUGAAUCUGCUUCGGCAGGCGGCCCCAGGGCGGGGCCGUAGCCGCAAGGCGCCCGCCGAAGACCCCUAAACUCUGUCGUCUUGAGAAUCUCUGAGUAUCAUAUUAAACAGAAAACAACUUUCAACAACGGAUCUCUUGGCUCUG